UACGUAGGGGGCGAGCGUUGUCCGGAUUUACUGGGCGUAAAGGGCUUGUAGGCGGUCCGUUAAGUCUGGUGUGAAAUCUCCCGGCUCAACUGGGAGGGGUCAUCGGAUACUGGCGGACUUGAGGGGGGUAGAGGAAAGCAGAAUUCCUGGUGUAGCGGUGAAAUGCGUAGAUAUCAGGAGGAAUACAGUGGCGAAGGCGGCUUUCUGGGCCUACCCUGACGCUGAGGCACGAAAGCGUGGGGAGCAAACAGG
rnacentral:rRNA from 1 species